CCCUUAGAUGUUCUGGGCCGUACGCGCGCUACACUGAUGAAUUCAACGAGCUCCUAACCUAGGCCGAAGGGUCCGGGUAAUCUUUGAAAUUUCAUCGUGAUGGGGAUAGAUUAUUGCAAUUAUUAAUCUUCAACGAGGAAUUCCUAGUAAGCGCGAGUCAUCAGCUCGCGUUGAUUACGUCCCUGCCCUUUGUACACACCGCCCGUCGCUCCUACCGAUUGAAUGGUCCGGUGAAAUGUUCGGACCGCGACAAGGCGGACGGUUCGCUGUCAGCUUUGCUGCGGGAAGUUCAUUAAACCUUAUCAUUUAGAGGAAGGAGAAGUCGUAACA
rnacentral:rRNA from 1 species